CGCGCGUAGGCGGUUUUUUAAGUCUGAUGUGAAAGCCCACGGCUCAACCGUGGAGGGUCAUUGGAAACUGGAAAACUUGAGUGCAGAAAAGGAAAGUGGAAUUCCAUGUGUAGCGGUGAAAUGCGCAGAGAUAUGGAGGAACACCAGUGGCGAAGGCGACUUUCUGGUCUGUAACUGACGCUGAUGUGCGAAAGCGUGGGGAUCAAACAGGAUUAGAUACCCCCGA
rnacentral:rRNA from 1 species